rnacentral:rRNA from 1 species
GAUCAUGGCUCAGGAUGAACGCUAGCUACAGGCUUAACACAUGCAAGUCGGAGGGGCAGCAUGGUCUUAGCUUGCUAAGGCUGAUGGCGACCGGCGCACGGGUGAGUAACACGUAUCCAACCUGCCGUCUACUCUUGGCCAGCCUUCUGAAAGGAAGAUUAAAUCCAGGAUGGCAUCAUGAGUUCACAUGUCCGCAUGAUUAAAGGUAUUUUCCGGUAGACGAUGGGG